rnacentral:rRNA from 1 species
GAUGAACGCUGGCGGCGUGCCUAAUACAUGCAAGUCGAGCGAACGGACGAGAAGCUUGCUUCUCUGAUGUUAGCGGCGGACGGGUGAGUAACACAUGGAUAACCUACCUAUAAGACUGGGAUAACUUCGGGAAACCGUAGCUAAUACCGGAUAAUAUUUUGAACCGCAUGGUUCAAAAGUGAAAGACGGUCUUGCUGUCACUUAUAGAUGGAUCCGCGCUGCAUUAGCUAGUUGGUAAGGUAACGGCUUACCAAGGCAACGAUGCAUAGCCGACCUGAGAGGGUGAUAGGCCACCCUGGAACUGAGACACGGUCCAGACUCCUACGGGAGGCAGCAGUAGGGAAUCUUCCGCAAUGGGCGAAAGCAUGACGGAGCAACGCCGCGUGAGUGAUGAAGGUCUUCGGAUCGUAAAACUCUGUUAUUAGGGAAGAACAUAUGUGUAAGUAACUGUGCACAUCUUGACGGUACCUAAUCAGAAAGCCACGGCUAACUACGUG